rnacentral:rRNA from 1 species
UACGUAGGGUGCAAGCGUUAAUCGGAAUUACUGGGCGUAAAGCGCGCGUAGGCGGACCUGCAAGUCGGGGGUGAAAGCCCGAGGCUCAACCUCGGAACUGCCUUCGAUACUGCGGGUCUCGAGUCCGGGAGAGGUGAGUGGAAUUCCUAGUGUAGAGGUGAAAUUCGUAGAUAUUAGGAAGAACACCAGUGGCGAAGGCGACAUCCUGGACCGGUAUUGACGCUGAGGCGCGAAAGCCAGGGGAGCAAACGGG